CAUUCAGCGCGAUUUUCAAAAGCCCUUCCUCUGAUAGGGCACCUAGGGCUUUACUCUGCCUGAGAAAAAAAGAAGAAGACGAAAUUCACUGUUUAUUUUACAAGUCGGAUCAUGAUUUUCAUUGAUUAGCAGAAGAAUUUCCAGCUUCAAUUGCGGAAGAAAGGCAUUCCAAUGCUGUUUUCAACUCCUGCAAUGGUGAAAAUUUCCUCCAAAUGUACGAUUAACAGCACCAGUUUGAUUGACGGAGUGAAUUGGAAGAAGGGAAUGUGGAUAGUACAGGAAGUGAAAUGAAGCAUUCGCAAACUGUUCGUUGGAGGCGUUUCUUUGGAGACCACUGAAGGUGGAAGUGAAGAGGACAGUUCCAAGGGCUGAUAGGAAUGAUAAAAUGGUAUCAAGAACCUAAAGAAUUUUUGUUGGAGGAAUACCACCUGCGUUGACGGAAGGUUAAGAGAAGUUGAUCACAUGAGAAGGCAGACUAAGCACAUGGAUUUCAAAACCUUCACACAUGAAUUAGUGCCAAAUCCAAAACAGUUUCAACAGAUUGAAAAGGAAAAGUACAAAGAAAUAUUUUAUUUAGUUGCCAAUUGGGUUACCAAAUAAGGUUAAAUUAUUUGAGCUUUUUUUAGGCUCCAAGCACGGAGUUUUGCGAUGGUUACACUCUCUGUUCCAUUGUUGAAAGCAUAGAGACCAGCUUUGUCUCCAAUCGCCAACCUUGGAUACACUCUUGCCGUGAUGCAAGCCUUUCCUUUAGAUCCAAAGCUUUCGACAAUUGAGUGAUCAAUCUGUAAAUGUUUCAUAAAAAUGGUCAAAUUCAUCGAUCGAGAUCUACUAUAGUUAGAUUUGAUAGACUUUAACCCGUGUA